rnacentral:rRNA from 1 species
AGGACGAACGCUGGCGGCGCGCUUAACACAUGCAAGUCGAACGGGGCUCGGGUCCUUCGGGAUCCGGGUUCAGUGGCGAACGGGUGCGUAACACGUGAGCAACCUGCCCUGAUGUGGGGGAUAACCUCGGGAAACCGGGGCUAAUACCGCAUGGGCUCCUCUGGGUCACCUGACCUGGGGAGCAAAGGUGCUGUCAAAGGCACUGCAUUAGGAGGGGCUCGCGGCGUAUCAGCUAGUUGGUGGGUAACGGCUCACCAAGGCAGCGACGC